rnacentral:rRNA from 1 species
GGUCUAGGCCCUUACCACCCUACACGGAUCUCAGCUGAUCUUAGAAGCUAAGUAGGGUCAGUCCUGGUUUGUACUUGGAUGGGAGACCAGAGAGGAGAAGAGCUAUAAUCA